AACACGGAAGUGAACAGAAAUCUACGCAUUACCAGAAGCAGAAAAUUCAUUUUCCCUGCGAGUGAAACAGAAAACAAAAAAAAUGGUCUGAUUGAUCAUAAAAGCCGGCUGCUACGUGGCGAGGAAGAUCCGGGCUGCUGUGUCUGGGGAGCAACCAGAGGAGCCAAUUACCACACCAUGUAGUGCUAAAGCUCAAAAGAAGGCACUACGCGGGUCCUGAGGAAGCGCCCCAGCAGCUGCACUGAUGCCAGAAUCGGAGGAAGGAGUCAGUGGAGCUGCAAGGUCAGGGAUGUCCUCAGAGAUGGCUGUGGCCCCUGUGGUAUGUGGCCCCUGAGGUUAAAGACUGGACACUGAGAAGUGUGGUCAAUUCACUGGAAGAUUUGUCAUCUUUGUACAUUUGCAAUACAUGGAAAGAGUGCAUUCUCUAUACAGAGACCUAUACUUAAGUAAAAUGUUCAACAUUCUUUUUUGUCCAAACAGAGUGAGCAAACACUCUCUCUGUUAAACUGCAAUUGUUCUAGUAAUCUCCAAUAAGUGACAGUGCUGCAAUCCGUGUCCAGCUCCUUUAUAAUACACCUUAAACCCUAAUUCACAGCAGAUAUUUGACUUGCCAUGGAAAAUACACAAAUGCAAAUAAUAACAGCAAUAAUAUAUAUAUUCUCUGUUUUGUGUGACAAAAUGCACAUUAUUAGGGGGUACUAUAAAUGCUGAUAUUUUGUAUUAUGUACUGUAUAUGGUUAAUCAUGUUUCCUGUGAAAAAAGGCUGUUAAUCCAUUUGUGUACUGCAGGUUUUUGAAGGCCGACUCACAAACCUCUCUCCAGGGGCUGAGCAGGCCUGAUGUUCAUGCUGUUGUAUCAAUAAAUGGGAUAAAAUUA